rnacentral:misc_RNA from 1 species
UUCCCUUUUUUUCUCCGCAAAGGAAAAGAAGGGAAUAAUUAUUUCAGAAAAUAAACCACAAGAAAACAAUCAUUAGAACAUAUUUGUUUCAUUUCUUGUAAUUAACUGUACAAAAACCUAUGGAUUGCUUAUCUAACGAUUUACACAUGUUUAGGUCAUGCUAAAGACUAAUUAGAGCUCUUGCAUAUGUUGCAUCCACCACACCCAAAGAAAAGGGAAAACGAAGACUUAAAUUAGAGCUCCAUCUUAAUCUGGGGGCCCUCCCCCUCAUCAACCUCACUUUGUAUAACAUUUUCCUGGACGUUGGAUGAGACGAUACUUCCCCCAUUAUAGCCAUCCAUCAGCAACUUCCCUAUUUUUGAUCUCCAUUCUGAGCUCUCCUUCUCAUUCUUCCUGUCAUGUACAACUCUGUCGCAGUAAUUAAGCAUAGUUCCUAUGCCACUAUUUGGUGUCCAGCCGUACUGCAUUAACACCUGUGCCUCACCUUCAGUUAAGUCUUCUCCAACCAAUAAUGUUUUGUUUUCAAUUAGGGUAAUCCUGCCACAGUUUGUAAGUUUCAUGGCAGUCACCAAUCGCUUGAUCUGCCAAUCAAUGGAUAAGGAGUCAACCAGCUCAAAGAAAUAGGUUGCGUAGCCAUACUCAGGACGUUCCAGCACUAUUCUUCUAUGCCUUUCAAAGACAAAUAU